CGCUUGGGAACUACGAGCACAAACGCUUAAAACCCUAAGGACUUGGCGGUGUCCCAAAACCCCCUAGAGGAGCCUGUUCUAUAAUCGAUAACCCACGCUACACCCAACCCCUCCUCGCCCCAGCAGCCUAUAUACCGCCGUCGCCAGCCCACCUUAACAUGAGAGCACAGCAGUGAGCNCAAUAAUUCUCCCCCCAUUAAUAAGACAGGUCAAGGUAUAGCCCAUGGAGGGGAAGAAAUGGGCUACAUUCUCNAACUUAGAUCACACGAAAGAGGGCCUGAAACGUCCCUCAGAAGGAGGAUUNGCAGUCA
rnacentral:rRNA from 1 species